UACGAAGGGGGCUAGCGUUGUUCGGAAUGACUGGGCGUAAAGGGCGCGUAGGCGGCGAUGUAAGUCAGGCGUGAAAGCCCCGGGCUCAACCUGGGAACGGCGCUUGAUACUGCGUUGCUUGAGGACGGGAGAGGAUGGUGGAAUUCCCAGUGUAGAGGUGAAAUUCGUAGAUAUUGGGAAGAACACCGGUGGCGAAGGCAGCCCCCUGGGCCAACACUGACGCUCAGGCACGAAAGCGUGGGGAGCAAACAGG
rnacentral:rRNA from 1 species